GCCAACGUCCGAGUCGUCCAAUGGGAGCGCGCGGAGGGUGGCGCGAACCCGGCGCGCGCGCGAACAUGGAUUUCCCGCGCUUCGACUCGGCGAUAAACCCCCAAACAACAACAACAAACGUGACAUUAACAAUCAAACUAAGUAACACCGCCGUGUAAAUUAUACCGCGUGUAUUUAUUCAUAAUAUCCGAGUGGUUUUGAGAACCGGCUACGAAAGUGUAUUUAUUAUCUGAGAGGAUUAAACAACGUUACGAGGUCAGACGUUAGUUUUUGUUUUUGCUUGUUAAAGUAACACAAAGCCUCCGAGAGGCCGCGAUUAUUGAUUUGCAUGUUUUAAAUAUCCACGUUUCUAAUACGCGGAGGAGGGAGGUUCGCGAUGGCAGCGGCGUCCGGACGUCAGGCGCUGAGCGACAUUUCCAACCCUCAGAUCCAAGAGACGCAAAGACGCUUAUAUGAAGACCUUCUGGACCCAACGGGAUCUCCUAUGACGCCUAACUCACUAAAUCGGCGACGUCGGUCAAAGACUACCCCCUGUAAACCAGCAGACGAGCCCGUGGUGUGCGUUCCAAACUCAGAAACAGACCAGGGCGUCUUGUAUGAGACACCUCCCUUUUCCUCCCAGCGGAAGAGACCCGUCCUUUCUCAAAAGAAGCCCUUCAUUGCUGACGAGACCCCUUGCAGGUGCUCUGCAACAACAGGCCUGACGAUCAAGAAAAAGAGGAUUCCCAGCACCGAGGAGGUGACGGAGCGACCGCAGCUGCAGACAAUACUGGCUGCGCUGAGCAGGGAUCAGCUGGUGUCACUCAUUGGCACAUUUCUCGAAAGACACCCGGACCGAGAAGGGGAACUGAGGAGCCUCAUCCCAACGCCAGAUGUGACCCCUCUGAUAGAAAAUCUUGAGAGCCUGAAGAAAACCAUCUACAAAUCUUUCCCCAGCUCACGGUCUGGGUCCCACCGUGAUUCCUUCUGCUACAGAAGAGUAAUCUCUCACCUUCAGGCUUUCAGAGAAGCUUUGGAUUUAUUGACAGACCACAUGCCAGGAGCAAGGGAAGAUUCUGCUUCAGAGUCAGUUUCACGAGGCCAUGCUGGAAUACUCCCUUCUGGCUUGCUCCACUGUCGCAGCUCUUCCCGACUGGGAUAACGUUGCCCACAACGCAGUCAAGCAGCGCUGCUUCCGAACGCUCACCAUGCAGUGCAUGUCUGCGCUGAGCAAAAGCACCUACGAGAGGGAAGGAUAUACCCGUUUACGGAAGAGGUUCGAGAUUGUGUGCACCAUCAACAGCGAGCUGCAGCCCUGCCUCCUGGAAGUGGAACGAAAGCUUAGCCAACUGUAACAGCUUUAUGUUGCGGUGUGAAAUACGUCCUACCAAAUAUCCACUAUUUAAAUGUGUUGGCAGUUAAAUACAAUAAUUUUUUAAUGUUACAAAAAAUGUAUUAACUGUAAAGACUACUGAAGUCAAAAUAUUCACGAUUUUGGCACUUUAGUGAUGGUGCUUUCAUUUAAUGGUGCUGUUGUUCAUAAUCUUCUGCGUGUGAAGUUGCCCAAGUGUUAGUUUUGCUUUGGGAUUUAUUUUUAAGUCGUUCCUAUAAAAAAUAUUUGCACAAGUCCAAUCUAAUCAGCAUGGACUAUAAUCUAAUACUCAAGCCAACAUUCUACUAUGCCACGUACACAUUGCAUAGGGUGAUCCAGAUGUCGUGACCGCAAUUUAAUUCUCUAAAACUUAAUAUUUUAAAGUAAGAUAUAUUUAAAACAAAUUAAUAUGCAAAGGAAACACGUUAGCUGUAAAUUAAUUGUGGGUCACAAAGACAUCCGUACGACCCUGUUCAUGAUUUGGCGAGUGCACAAACUAGGUGGCGCUAGAUGCCUGUUGUAUAUAUUAUCUGAAUGUCAUGUACCUUUGUUUCAAUUAACUAUUUAGAAGUUUCCAUGCAUUCAAGCACAACUUUUGCUUGUAUUGAAAUGUGGCAUUCAAAUUUUUUUAAACAUUUUAAUGUGGAGUUUAUCACCUAUAUUAACAUUCAAAUGUAUUAAG